GCCAAGAGCGGUCACCCGAGGCGCGUCCCUGCACUGUGUAGUGGCGAAUGGCGAAAAAAAAGUUGUGAAAUAUUUCUGGAAAUAUUCGUCUCUCCUUGUAGAGUGGAAGCAAUAAAAGUGUGUGGUGCGAGUCGUCCUCCCGGCAGGACAAGUGACUAUGACUAUAGUCUUCCUACACCCAGCCUCUCAUCGCUUCUGAUAAGGUAAGUGAAACCCCACAGCUCAUCGCACUGCAGCUCAACGACUGACAAGCAUUAUAUACAAGGUACGUGUCUCACAUUUUUGUAGUACUUUUCUUUAUUAAAUCAUAGACAAUAUAAAGGUCAUAUUUACAU